rnacentral:lncRNA from 1 species
GGAUUCUCGGCAUUUCCCUAAUGUAUCAGUGUGGAUUCCACGACUGGCAACAGUACCUUCCGCAGGAGGAAGAUGAGAGAAGGUGGCCGCGUGCCUUCGUGUUUACCAAGGCAGACCUGCUGUUCCUAGUAGGUUCCUAGCUGUCUAAAAUGGGACCGAGUGGGAGGGAAAAUUGUUUUGCCAAUUUUGUAAUGUUUAGGUUUACUAGCGGGUAAGGCUCCCGUUGCUGGUAGAGAGCUGACGCAUCUUGCAGUGACACGCGCAUGCCGUGUUUUAGCAGCACAGCUCAUCAGUUAGAUCUCGGAAGCAGCCUGCGUGUCCAUCAGCAGAUGGACGGGUGAAGAGAGGCUGACGUUUAUACACAAUGGAGAGCUACGCAGUCAUAAAGAAGGUUAAAUCUGAGUCAUCUGUAGGAAAACGACGUCCCUUGGACCGUAAUUUCAGAGAGGCUACGCGGGUGCGGCACGCACGCACUGAAACCCCACCCACAAGUCAUCCCUGUCACACUUCUGGGGUUACCCCGGGCCUCCAAAGGGCUGGCUUCCCUUGACCACCACACCUGGAGUGGAGCACCGGGGACCAAGGAGGAAUGAGGGGCUCAUGCGCCAACGAACCACUUCCUGGGCAGGAUGCCCCUCCUGUCCCUGAGCAGCACCGGCCGGGCUCCUGGGGGAGCCUCUUGUCCUCCAGGGCUUAGGAACCUCCAUCCCACCUGUGGUCCCAGCAUGGGCCUGACCCCACAUCCAUCCCUCUGCGUUUGGAAACCUGACACCCCCUUGUUGGCAGGGGCACCCAGAAUUCCCAGCUGCUCUCCUCCAGGGAGGAAAGUCCUGUCAGCACCAGCUCAUGACCUCAGCUGCCUGAUCACCAGAGACAGGACCUUCUGUUCAUCAAAGAGCAUCACAUUUGUCUUCAAAAUAUUGGAAAUUAGAAGACAGCACUUCCACAGAGGACACCUUUCCAUGCGGCUCUGUGGCCUCCACCUGGCUGCACUUGUGUGGGACUGGGCACCGCCUAGAACGCUCCCCAGACAGGCCAGGGAAGACCUGCUCUACCUGAGGCGGGACCUUUGUCUCCUCUCCUGCCACGGCUGCCACAGGGACCAAAGUGCCCAGAUUCCCAGGCCCUAG